AUAAUUAAUUGUUUUGAAUUUUCACCUUCUUUUUUUUAUUUUAUCAUAGACAAACUUUCCUGAUUUUUUUUUUUUUUUUUUUUUUGUGUGUAAACACAAAUUUCCUUAAAUUAAUAUUAACUCCAUUUGGGAAUAGGAAAGAAAAAAUAAUUUUUUUUAUUCUCAUUUUUCCACGUGGGUUUUACUUUGUCACGGUUUUACGGAUACAAGUUUCACCGAGCUUGACCACCAAGGCACAUCACCGACCUUCAUUUAGGCAUUUUGAACAUAAAAAAGAAGAGCGUUAGCGCCACAACGCAUACAUUCCCCUGCUUCUUUCGUCUCUCUCUCUCUUUGUUUCUCUGCAAACCCUAAACCCCGAUCACUGCACUGCACUCCUUAGUUUCC
rnacentral:lncRNA from 1 species